GAUGAACGCUAGCUACAGGCUUAACACAUGCAAGUCGAGGGGCAGCAUGUCGGUUGCUUGCAACCGACGAUGGCGACCGGCGCACGGGUGAGUAACGCGUAUCCAACCUGCCUCUUACCAGGGAAUAACCCGUCGAAAGGCGGACUAAUGCCCUAUGCCCUCCGCGGCAGACAUCUAAUGCGGCGGAAAGAUUCAUCGGUAAGUGAUGGGGAUGCAUCUGAUUAGCUUGUUGGCGGGGUAACGGCCCACCAAGGCAACGAUCAGUAGGGGUUCUGAGAGGAAUGUCCCCCACAUUGGAACUGAGACACGGUCCAAACUCCUACGGGAGGCAGCAGUGAGGAAUAUUGGUCAAUGGGCGGAAGCCUGAACCAGCCAAGUAGCGUGCAGGACGACUGCCCUAUGGGUUGUAAACUGCUUUUAUGCGGGGAUAAAUGACACUACGUGUAGUGUUUUGCAGGUACCGCAUGAAUAAGGACCGGCUAAUUCCGUGCCAGCCGCCGCGGUAAAAC
rnacentral:rRNA from 1 species